rnacentral:misc_RNA from 1 species
AACUUUUGACAAUGGAUCUCUUGGUUCUGGGAUCGAUGAAGAACGCAGCGAAAUGCGAUAAGUAAUGUGAAUUGCAGAAUUCAGUGAAUCAAUGAAUCUUUGAACGCAAAUUGCGCCCCUUGGCAUUCCGAGGGGCAUGCCUGUUCGAGCGUCAUUUAAACCAAUCCAGCGUGCUGGGUCUUGGGCUUUCGCCUCUGGGCGGGCCUCAAAGUCGGUGGCGGUGCUGCCAGGCUCUAAGCGUAGUAAUUCUUCUCGCUACAGGGUCCUGGUGGAGGCUUGCCAACAACCCCAAAUAUUUCAAAGGUUGACCUCGGAUCAGGUAGGGAUACCCGCUGAACUUAAGCAUAUCAAUAAGCGGAGGCU